rfam:Paenibacillus popilliae ATCC 14706 DNA, contig: contig031.
GAAUUCCAUCAGGGCAAAGCCUAACCAGCAGUCCUGUAGCUAGUUCUUGAAGGCUAGGCGGUAACGAAUAGCUUUAAGCGUAGAACGGCAAAAUAGCGGGCCGAAAGCGAAAUGCUGAAGUGAUUGGGCCUCGAAAAUACGUGGAGACGGGCCGAUGUAGUUACACAUACAGAAGGCGAAAUCGGUUCAAACGUUAUGGUGAGUUUGGACGGGCAAACCCGGGAGACCC